rnacentral:rRNA from 1 species
GAUGAACGCUGGCGGCGUGCCUAAUACAUGCCAGUCGAGCGAACGGACGAGAAGCUUGCUUCUCUGAUGUUAGCGGCGGACGGGUGAGUAACACGUGGAUAACCUACCUAUAAGACUGGGAUAACUUCGGGAAACCGGAGCUAAUACCGGAUGAUAUUUUGAACCGCAUGGUUCAAAAGAGAAAGACGGUCUUGCUGUCACUUAUAGAUGGAUCCGCUCUUCAUUAGCUAGUUGGUAAGGUAACGGCUUACCAAGGCAACGAUGCAUAGCCGACCUGAGAGGGUGAUCGGCCACACUGGAACUGGGACACGGUCCCGACUCCUACGGGAGGCAGCAGUAGGGAAUCUUCCGCAAUGGGCGAAAGCCUGACGGAGCAACGCCGCGUGAGUGAUGAAGGUCUUCGGAUCGUAAAACUCUGUUAUUAGGGAAGAACAUAUGUGUAAGUAACUGUGCACAUCUUGACGGUACCUAAUAAGAAAGCCACGGCUAACUACGUG